UUUUCUGGGGUGAACUGGGCAGAGGUUUGACUGGCAAGCAGCUCUGGGUGUACAUUUCAUCCAAGAGUCUCAUGGUGGUCGAAGGAGAUCCCCAGAUGCAAAAUCAAAGUUGCUUGGAUUUCCAUUUCUUCCCCAUCUAGGAAAAGGGCAAUGGAAUCAAAGCCUUUAAAAAAUGUAGUAAGAGAAAGACUCUCUAAUUGAUCAGAACCUUCUGGCAACCAGCACUUUGGCCCAUCUACUGAAAAAUACUUUAUCAGUGUCUUUAGUAAAGGCCCCCAAGAUGCACAAUACAUUUUUGGUUGUUGAAAUAGAGUGUCUUCUAAGUCAUCAAGUAAAAGAGAAAUUCUGCUCAGAAGACUUUUGGAUAGUACCCAACAUUUGGUGAGGCUUACUAUAUUACAUGCAUUACCUCGCUAAAUCACCACAUUAGAACACUUACAGGCCGACUGUGCUGCUUUGUCUGAAUCUAGAACAAAGGAUCGGCCCUUAAGGAGGCUGAUGCGAUGUUAAAGCCCAUCACUCUAAAAUUGACACCACACCUGGGAAGAGCAGGCAGCACCAUCACUGGCUUUCCUGUUCAAGAAUGACACCUGUCAAUCAGGCAGGACAUCCCCUUGGGUCGUCCAGUCCAAGAAAACUCACUGGCUUCUUGAAAAGCCAAAGAGAACAAGAGAAAAGGGAUGAGGAGAGUGAACAGAGGGGAGGAGGGAACAAUAGGAAAGGGAGGAGAGGUGAGAAUAAAGAAAAGAGGGAGGAAAAGAGAAGGAGAAAUUGGAAGCAAAGGUAGAAUAAUGAGAGGAUGUGGAAGAGCAGGUAGAGGCAGAAGAACAGGUGGGAGAAAAGGAAAGAAGACAAAUGAGGAGAAGAAGAAGACAAGCAGUGUAAAAGAUGGUUAGAAGAGAUGGGAAAUACAAGAGAAAUAUGCAAAAUUCUGCCGCCACCAGAGGCAACAUUUGCCAACUUUUUUGCAGAGUGUUAAGCCCAUGAAACGCUCUAUGAUCAAACAAUUUUGGAAAACAGUGAAUUUAUGUAUACCCUCUUUUCUUGGAGUUUCACAAUGCAUGUUAGCAGAUUAAAGGCUCUGAGAAGUCUUGCUGGAAAGAAACCUGUUUUACUUCA
ensembl:lncRNA novel transcript